rnacentral:rRNA from 1 species
GAUGAACGCUGGCGGCGUGCCUAAUACAUGCAAGUCGAGCGAACGGACGAGAAGCUUGCUUUUCUGAUGUUAGCGGCGGACGGGUGAGUAACACGUGGAUAACCUACCUAUAAGACUGGGAUAACUUCGGGAAACCGGAGCUAAUACCGGAUAAUAUUUUGAACCGCAUGGUUCAAAAGUGAAAGACGGUCUUGCUGUCACUUAUAGAUGGAUCCGCGCUGCAUUAGCUAGUUGGUAAGGUAACGGCUUACCAAGGCAACGAUGCAUAGCCGACCUGAGAGGGUGAUCGGCCACACUGGAACUGAGACACGGUCCAGACUCCUACGGGAGACAGAAGUAGGGAAUCUUCCGCAAUGGGCGAAAGCCUGACGGAGCAACGCCGCGUGAGUGAUGAAGGUCUUCGGAUCGUAAAACUCUGUUAUUAGGGAAGAACAUAUGUGUAAGUAACUGUGCACAUCUUGACGGUACCUAAUCAGAAAGCCACGGCUAACUACGUG